AGUGAACGCUGGCGGUAGGCCUAACACAUGCAAGUCGAACGGCAGCACAGUAAGAGCUUGCUCUUACGGGUGGCGAGUGGCGGACGGGUGAGGAAUACAUCGGAAUCUACUUUUUCGUGGGGGAUAACGUAGGGAAACUUACGCUAAUACCGCAUACGACCCACGGGUGAAAGCAGGGGAUCUUCGGACCUUGCGCGAUUGAAUGAGCCGAUGUCGGAUUAGCGAGUUGGCGGGGUAAAGGCCCACCAAGGCGACGAUCCGUAGCUGGUCUGAGAGGAUGAUCAGCCACACUGGAACUGAGACACGGUCCAGACUCCUACGGGAGGCAGCAGUGGGGAAUAUUGGACAAUGGGCGCAAGCCUGAUCCAGCCAUACCGCGUGGGUGAAGAAGGCCUUCGGGUUGUAAAGCCCUUUUGUUGGGAAAGAAAAGCAGCAGGUUAAUACCCCGCUGUUCUGACGGUACCCAAAGAAUAAGCACCGGCUAACUUCGUG
rnacentral:rRNA from 1 species